rnacentral:rRNA from 1 species
AUUCCAGCUCCAAUAGCGUAUAUUAAAGUUGUUGCAGUUAAAACGCUCGUAGUCGGAUUUCGGGGCCUGCCUGCCGGUCUGCCGAUGGGUAUGCACUGGCAGGCGCGUCCUUCCUUCCGGAGACUGUCCCUACUCUUAACUGAGCGGGGUCGGGAGACGGAUCGUUUACUUUGAAAAAAUCAGAGUGUUUCAAGCAGGCAGCUCGCUCUUGCAUGGAUUAGCAUGGGAUAAUGAAAUAGGACUUUGGUGCUAUUUUGUUGGUUUGCACACCAAGGUAAUGAUUAAUAGGGAUAGUUGGGGGUAUUCGUAUUUAAUUGUCAGAGGUGAAAUUCUUGGAUUUAUGAAAGACGAACUUCUGCGAAAGCAUUUACCAAAGAUGUUUUCAUUA